CCUACGGGAGGCAGCAGUGGGGAAUAUUGGGCAAUGGGCGCAAGCCUGACCCAGCAACGCCGCGUGAAGGAAGAAGGCUUUCGGGUUGUAAACUUCUUUUGUCAGGGACGAAGCAAGUGACGGUACCUGACGAAUAAGCGACGGCUAACAACGAGCCAGCAGCCGCGGGAAUACGGAGGGGGCAAGCGUUCGCCGGAUUUAGUGGGUGUAAAGGGCGUGUAGGCGGGAAUGCAAGUCAGAUGUGAAAACUAUGGGCUCACCCCAUAGCCUGCAUUUGAAACUGUAUUUCUUGCGUGCUGGAGAGGCAAUCGGAAUUCCGUGUGUAGCGGUGCAAUGCGUAGAUAUACGGAGGAACCCCAGUGGCGAAGGCGGCUUGCUGCACCGUAACUGACGCUGAUGCGCGACAGCGUGGGGAGCACACAGGAUUAGAUACCCCAGUAGUC
rnacentral:rRNA from 1 species